UUAAUACUCCUUCUGUCCCAAAAUUCUUGUCUUAAAUUUAUCUAAAUACAGAUGUAUCAAGUCACGUUUUAGUAUUAGAUACAUCCAUAUCUAAACAAAUCUAAGACAAAAAUUUUGGGACGGAGUGAGUACAUA
rfam:Triticum aestivum genome assembly, contig: Triticum_aestivum_CS42_TGACv1_scaffold_329318_4BS